UGAGGAAUAUUGGUCAAUGGACGGAAGUCUGAACCAGCCAAGUAGCGUGCAGGAUGGCGGCCCUAUGGGUUGUAAACUGCUUUUGUAUGGGGAUAAAGUUAGGGACGUGUCCCUAUUUGCAGGUACCAUACGAAUAAGGACCGGCUAAUUCCGUGCCAGCAGCCGCGGUAAUACGGAAGGUCCAGGCGUUAUCCGGAUUUAUUGGGUUUAAAGGGAGCGUAGGCUGGAGAUUAAGUGUGUUGUGAAAUGUAGACGCUCAACGUCUGAAUUGCAGCGCAUACUGGUUUCCUUGAGUACGCACAACGUUGGCGGAAUUCGUCGUGUAGCGGUGAAAUGCUUAGAUAUGACGAAGAACUCCGAUUGCGAAGGCAGCUGACGGGAGCGCAACUGACGCUUAAGCUCGAAGGUGCGGGUAUCAAACAGGAUUAGAUACCCUGGUAGUCCGCACAGUAAACGAUGGAUGCCCGCUGUUGGUACCUGGUAUCAGCGGCUAAGCGAAAGCAUUAAGCAUCCCACCUGGGGAGUACGCCGGCNCGGU
rnacentral:rRNA from 1 species